AGGUUGAACGGCCACAUUGGGACUGAGACACGGCCCAGACUCCUACGGGAGGCAGCAGUGGGGAAUAUUGCACAAUGGGGGAAACCCUGAUGCAGCGAUGCCGCGUGGAGGAAGAAGGUUUUCGGAUUGUAAACUUUUGUCUUAAAGGACGAUAAUGACGGUACUUUAGGAGGAAGCUCCGGCUAACUACGUGCCAGCAGCCGCGGUAAUACGUAGGGAGCGAGCGUUGUC
rnacentral:rRNA from 1 species